rnacentral:rRNA from 1 species
AUUGAACGCUGGCGGCAGGCUUAACACAUGCAAGUCGAGCGAGCGGCGGACGGGUGAGUAAUGUCUGGGAAACUGCCUGAUGGAGGGGGAUAACUACUGGAAACGGUAGCUAAUACCGCAUACCAUCAGAUGUGCCCAGAUGGGAUUAGCUAGUAGGUGGGGUAAUGGCUCACCUAGGCGACGAUCCCUAGCUGGUCUGAGAGGAUGACCAGCCAAACGGGAACUGAGACACGGCCCAGACUCCUACGGGAGGCACAAGUGGGGAAUAUUGCACAAGGGGCGCAAGCCUGAUGCAGACAUGCCGCGUGUGUGAAGAAGGCCUUCGGGUUGUAAAGUACUUUCAGCGAGGAGGCGUUACCCGCAGAAGAAGCACCGGCUAACUCCGUGCCAGCAGCCGCGGUAAUUC